GCCUCUCUUAUUGGCUGUAGGAGCGAGGUCGCUCCACCCUCUUCUCCCAGACACGCUGGUGGGGGCGCUGGUGGGGUCGGGGGCUCGCGCCUGGGCUGGUUUCACCGCGCUGGUUCUGUGCAGUGACCCCUUCUCCUUGGGGGCGCUUCCACCAGCCACGAGCCUAGUGGUAACACAUUCGGUCACCCCGCGAGGGUAGGAGACGCCCCAGGCCGGGAGUGAACCCCUCAACUCUGCAGAGUCCCAGGCCUGGCCCGCCGCUGACCACGUCGCUUGGCGCCCAGCGGCCAGGAGAGGCGCCCUUUCAUUUCUCCAGGUUUUCCCUUAGAUUCCUUUGCGAGUGCGGGGAGCCCCCUUUUUUCUAGGAGGAAGCACCCAGAGCGGUAAAGACCUGCUGGAACCCCGAAGCACUUGGAAUGCAUUAGGCUGUGGCUGGCACCUUCUCUCCGCCCUGGCGAGGCUGCUGUGGAGGCUGGCAGUGAAGGAAUCUGGCCAGAGCUCAUGGCAGGCGCUGGGGUCUGUGGCACUGUGGGACAGGGGCUAUUUCAGCUGUACCAGGAUGUCCUAGAGAUUGCUGACUGAGGGAGCCUGUACCAGAAAGAGGUGUCUGAAGGACUGAGGAUGAACAAUGGCAGGGCUCUGACCACUAGGCUGGGACGUUUUGUGCAGGAUGAUGACACCGGCUCCGUGAAGAUUCAACUGCCUCUGAGACAACUGACUGACUAGUCCCUCAAAGAGGAACAUCUUUUGGAACCCUGCCCCUGGCCAGUGGGAAUGACCAAACUAGCCCACGCUGAGAUAGAGGAGAAGCACCUGACUUUCCAGCUUUUUCUAGUGCCCCAUGGCUGGAGGGGGACACAGCUUGGCCCUCCCCCAGCCCUCCCCCUGCUCCACCCCCACGAACUGGAACAACUUGCUCCAGUGACUUCUGGGGUUAUCUAACAGCCACUUUCCUCCUCUCCCCUCUAACAGGAGUACAGUUCAACCCAGCAGGAAGCUUCUCCCCACUCCCACUUUAGGAAGGGCUGCUGCCACUUUGAAGGAGGGGGAGGGGCAUGUGGUGUGGCUAAAAUCAGGGAGUGAGGAAGGGUGGAUCAGGCCCUAUUGUUAACAGCCCCGUCCCCCUAGCUUUCCAGAAGAUUCCCAGGUACCAGCCCUGCCCCCUCACUGGGUCGCUACCAUGACAACUAUGGCUGUGUCCUGCACCCACUUAGACCAAUCACGGAUCUGUACUUGGACCAAUCACAGGCCUGCGGCUGCUACAUUUUUUAGUUGGUUUAGGAGGGUUUCCUCCCGCUGACACCCCUGUGCUGCAGCAUAGGUCCUGCUAAAGAGUCGUUUUGGUGGUGCAGUAAACCGGCUAGUGAUUUGUUUCUUGGGUAGUGUGGGUUCCAAAUAUCCUGUAAAUCUACUCCUGGGUAAGGAUGGUCAAAGUGUUGUUUUCAAAAGAAAGAGCAAUAAACACAAGGGGCUAUUUGCUUUCCAGCGUCCAGCCGUCAUGAAGGGCUUGGGGUGAGAAGUAAGAGCUGCUUCUGUGAGGCCACAAGAUGGCAGCACAGAGCAGCAAGUGUAGAAGCUUUGAGGUAGCCUCCCUACUCCCUGGGGUUGUCUUGUUACACAUUUCACACUGGGGACUUUCACUUGAGAUUUGGACAGCCCAAAAAAGAGACACGGAGCCAUGGACUGGAUGAAAUAUUCUUUUUCAGCUGUUUAGUCCAUCUCUUUAGCUGCUCGAGCAGCCAUCAGCCAUUGUGCACACAAGGCAGUCCUCAGCCUCCAGCCAGCCCACACAACAGUCCUUGGAUGACAACCUUGGUUAUAGCCAAAGGAGGCAGCUGGAAUGGAGGAUAACAGCUAGACAAAGACCAUGAAUUUAAAGCUUGGGAGUGGUGAGUAGACCAGUUGGUUGCCUGUUCCCUGGGGGAAAUGAGUUUGAAUUAGGAAAGAGUGAGAAAGAUUCAUCAGGAAAAGUAGAAACAUAAAAUCUCUGUGCAGGCUGUGACUGUGGCUCAGUGAGAGGGUAUUUGCGUAGUAUAUGCAAGGCCCUGGGUUCCAUCACUGAUACCACAAAGCAAAGCAAAACAUAAACACAAGAAAAUAAAGCAAAACAUGAGAAUUAUGAUGCCAUGAGUCAAGGUACCCUGGCCUUCAUCCCUGCCCUUUUUGUGGUUAUCUGAUAGCCCAGUGUGCAAACAUUACAUUUAUUCUUGCAGAACUCUAAUUAAAUUGAGUUACAGACAGAUUAAGGGAUCUUAAGCCGGGGGAGAUGGCAUGAUCGAAGUGAAUGCUGUAGUACCAGGAGCUGGGCAAGGGGCUGCUGGGAUGGCCUUGGGAUAGGGGAGGAGGCCUGGACCAGAAGUGGAGGCCUGGGUGUGGAGAAGACAGGCUGUAUGUGAAGCGGACUUCCAAGGCUGCAUUCGCAGAUAUGGCUGCUAAUUAGGGGAGGGAGAGGGGAAAGAUGGGGGCCAGCACCUCAGGAGGAUGCUCAGGGUGGGGGCAUGUGGUGUGGGGAAUCCUGGGUGGUGGAUUUGAGGAUCAGGAAGGGGUUCUAGGCUGGAGAUGAGGCCUUACCAGUUUAGCAGUAGUGACUGGAGUCGUGGGAGUGAGCCAGGUUAGCUAGGACACUGUAGAAAGGGCCAAAGCGGGCUCUGCUCAGUCCAGUGUAAACAGUGGACUUCCGGUCACAAUGGGGUGGUGGGGUCGGGGAUGUCCCCAGGGCAUUGUAGGGGGUGUGGGGAGGGCUGUAUAUUUCUUCUAGGAAAGGAGUACUCUCCUUGGCGGGCAGUGGAGAAAAGGAAGCCGCGUGGACCCUCCCCACCCCUUUUACUAUUUUAGGGGCAAAGAGGCAGGGAACUACACAAGUGUAAUGAUCUCUGCUUGAUAGGAACAGAAAGCUACUGGAGGAUGUGAGCCAUCAGGAGAAAGAAGAGCGUGAAGGUGAUAAAAAUGUCACAGCCCCGAGGGGAUGUCAGGGAUGCUAAGGGAAGAAGCAAAGCCCAGUGUGCCCGGAGUCAGGUUGUAGGGUAGAGGGCACAGGACUGAGCCCAUGACAGAUCAUGUUUCCAGUCUGAUUAGUCCAGCCCACGGAGGAAGCAGGAACAGGAACACUGGUGGGAAUACAAAUUACCAUAAAACACAGACGGCCUUGACAUCUAGGCUCUUGCUCCUGGCUGCUGGGUGCAGGGGUGCACCAGUGACAACAGUUCAGCUGAGGAGCCUGGCACGGGUGUGUGACCGGCACCACAGUGCAGCCCAGCCCUCUCCCCGUGGGUCAUACCCCUCAGCGCGUUGUUGGAUGUCUUGCGCAUUAUUGCCAGCAUCUCCCUAACAGUGUGAGCGAAAAUAUCUUCUAGGAAACUUGAAAACCACAGAAGAAAGUAGGUGAGGGAGUCUAAGGUAGCCCAGAAAUGCCCAUCAUGGACAGAAAAGGUAGAAAGGACACCGAGGACUGAGAGCAGGGCCACACUUGGCCUGAGUGACCCCUGCCCAGGGAGGCAGACAGGGAAUCCUGGGAGCAGAUGUGUCCCAUUCGAAAACGCAGGGGCCAGAGCGCAGUUCCUGGGGCUGUGUGACUGUGAGCAAAGGAAAGACAAACAGAAGUCCGUGUGGAUUGUUUACCCCAAUGACUCAUGUAAGGCGUCAUUACAGAUAAGGGGUCACAACCAUUCACUUCCUGAGCCUUUAUUUAUUGGGUUUCUUUUUUUUU